rnacentral:rRNA from 1 species
GAUGAACGCUGGCGGCGUGCCUAAUACAUGCCAGUCGAGCGAACAGACGAGGAGCUUGCUCCUCUGACGUUAGCGGCGGACGGGUGAGUAACACGUGGAUAACCUACCUAUAAGACUGGGAUAACUUCGGGAAACCGGAGCUAAUACCGGAUAAUAUAUUGAACCGCAUGGUUCAAUAGUGAAAGACGGUUUUGCUGUCACUUAUAGAUGGAUCCGCGCCGCAUUAGCUAGUUGGUAAGGUAACGGCUUACCAGGGCAACGAUGCGUAGCCGACCUGAGAGGGUGAUCGGCCACACUGGAACUGAGACACGGUCCAGACUCCUACGGGAGGCAGCAGUAGGGAAUCUUCCGCAAUGGGCGAAAGCUUGACGGGGCAACGCCGCGUGAGUGAUGAAGGUCUUCGGAUCGUAAAACUCUGUUAUUAGGGAAGAACAAAUGUGUAAGUAACUAUGCACGUCUUGACGGUACCUAAUCAGAAAGCCACGGCUAACUACGUG